CUUUUCACCUUGGGAAGGAGGUCUAUUUACUUUUUAUUUGAAAAGGAAUUGUUUUUGUUGUUUUCCUAAAGCUGGAGAGUGAAGGAAGCCAUCCUUGAGGAGUCAAGAUAAACUUCGGAUGUAAGGUCUGUUGAUUUAAAGUAGCUUCUCUCUCUCUGAGACAGUAAUAUAAAUGAAGCAUUUGUCUUUCUGCCACUAAUGCAGUUCUGCCGUUUGUAGUGGCCUGGGCUCCCUCUGGGUGGAAUGUUUCACCAGGCUUUGUGAGAAGAGGAGAGCAGGAUUCUGACCCAGGUGCUGCUGCUGGAGGCUCUGUGACACCUGCACAUUGUCACUUAACAUGCAAGGGCUGUCCAUGGUCACUGUCUCUUUACAGUCUGAACGGUCACUGGGUCACAGAAUUCCACCGGGAA
rnacentral:lncRNA from 1 species